ACAGCAGCGUCUCCUCACCCGCAGGCUGAGGCUUACUGACACUUUUCACCCUCUUGGCCCCACAUGUGUGGCCCACUGGAGGGGAGCAAUGGCUGGCAGAAAACAACCAGGUCCGGAGGUCAGGGGCUGGGUUCUGGCCUGGCCCUGCAUCUGGCCAGCACGUGAUCUGGAACUGUUUUGUGGGCCUCGGUUUUCCUUCCAGAAGCAGAGAAUCAUUCUCCAUUUCUGAGUGGGGCAAGGGGGCUCUGACCUCUCCCCUGGGGCUGCCUUUUCCCUUUAUUUCCAAGCAGCAUCACAAGGGCCCACCAAAGUGGCAUCUGGAAGUAUGUGUUUCCAACAAAUCCAGUCUUUUUUUUUUCUUUUCCCCUCAUUGGCUUACCAUGAUAUGGUAGAAAUUUAUUCAGGCCUGCCUUCAAAAUUCCCCUUGAUUGAGUCUUUGGUGGAUCUUACAAAGACUUUGGUGAGUUGCAGAGUCUCUCAGUACAUCACCUGGAUGGAGGUAGAGGGGCAGAGGGCCACGAUGGGCAGGAUUGGGUCUCUGGGAGAACAGAAGGGCCAAGGUAAAGCAGAAAGGAGCAGGGAGGUCCUCGGCAGGGGAGCCAUCUGGAAGAUGUCAACUUGCAGGCCCUGAGGUCUGCCCUGGGCUGAGUUCCUGGGUCUCCUACUGGAGAGAUCAGCCAAAAGACACCUCUGUUCCCCCAAGCACUCUUUGCUUUCUGCUUUCUCUCUGGUCUUGGAAUUUUCAGUUCAACUGGGAUCUUACAGGAAAACAAUUCCAGGCCAAUUCCUGACUUCCCACCCUAGAAGGGAAUGUUGGAGCCCUUGGCCUGUGGUUCCCUCUCCCUCCUUCUUGGGAGCUGGGCCCCGGGGGAAAUGGUGGGAAGUUCCAUAUUUGGAUGGCCCAGAGUGCUGGAAUGAGAUGGAGAUCUCCAGGGCAGGACAAGAGGGUCCUUAUUUAGUCUGAAGUCUCCAACCUGGGGCUUAGGGUGAGAGAGGAGCUGGCAGAGGGAUGGACCCUUUAAAGGCAAGAGGAUGGCAGUUGCAAGGAAAGGAGCUGAGAGCUUCUCCGAGGGUGGUAAAAGGCGUGGCUUCUCCAGUGGUAUCCCUCGGUUUCUAUGUUCAGGACAUGUUUGAGGAUGCGUCCAACUGAGAUGCUGAACUCCAAUAUUUAAGGAAUAUGAUCAAACUGAAUUAGGAUUAUAGGACAAGUAAAGAAAAAGAAUGCAGUUGAAUCUCUUGAGAGGAGUAUGUGAAAGUUAGAAGCAAUGAUCUCUUGAAGCUGGGGCCUGUCCCUCCCACUUCCUUGUCUCCCGAUGGUACUAACUUUAUAUAAUACUAAUAAGAGUAGCCAACAUUUAUUAUGCACUUGUUGUAUGCAGGGUAUUGUGCCAAGUACUUCACAUGUCAGAUCUCAUUUGAUUCUCACCACCAGCUUUUGGGGCAGACAUUAUUAUGUUCAUUUACAAAUGAGGACACAGAGGCUGGAAAGGCAAAAAAACUUGCAAAUGGCUGGAAAGGGAGAGAGCUGGGAUUUGAUUCUGGGCAGUCUGACUCUUCAUGACCCCAGGCUCUGAACUGCUUUAACUUUAUUUUUAUUUUUAAAAGUUUUAUUUAUUUAUUUAUUUAUUUUUAAAUAAAUAGAGACAGGGUUUUGCCAUCUUCCCCAGGCUGAUCUCAAACUCCUGGGCUCAAGUAAUCCUCCAGCCUUGGCUUCCCACUGCUGGAACUACAGGCAUGAGCCACUGCACCCAGCCCAAACUGUUUUAUUCUGGAUAGCUGGGCAUAGCUCCCCUCUGAGAUUAACAGGACGAAAUAUGAGGCCCACAGCCUUUCCAGCUCAGACCAUUGCAAUCCCUAGUUCCUUCCGUUCUAUUCUCUCUUACCCCAGGAGUCAGGAAGUUCUUCUCAGUGUCUGACCCUCACUUCUUCCUGUGGUAAAGUGAUUUCUGAGAUUAGAAACUUCAAAUCCUCUUGUGAUUAGCAUGAGCUGCAUCCCAUUUCAAAGCCCACCAUGUUGGGCACUUAAUAAAUGUUAAACAUUCCUUAUGGGGUAUCACAUCACCUGCAUCUCCCCCCAUUGGCUCCCUGCCAGCAUGCACAGAUAGUCUCUUCUGGAUUCCACUGUUGAAGGCAGGAAAACUCUGCCCUUCUUCUUUUCUUUUUCCUCCUCCCCCAUUGGGACAUAUGGUCUCUGUUGAGGGCAGAGUGAGGAACCUCAACAGGCGUCCUGUGGCUUGGGGUCAGCCUAGGCUGUUGCCUCUGAACCCUGUGUUGCACUGCAGCCUGAGGAAGUUUAGGGGUGCAGAGGACCAAAGGAGACACAUAUGGAUUCCUGGAAGAGGAAUUGGUGUUGGCCAGCAUUUCUAGAGUUGGAUAUGCAGAUCCCAUCCCUCUGUCCUCCCACCCAUUGGCCAUCCCGCCUGCCUCCAUUUGUAGACAGUUCCUGAAAGAUCAGGAUAUUAUGUAUGCAAAGAGGCCAGAGAGCUUCAGCUGUAGGAAGCUUGCAAUGAGCAAGAAGGUCACCCCAGCUUCAACUCACUGCGUCCGCUUCCCCUUCCCCUCCACAGUGGUCUGCAAGAAGAAUCUGGACAGUACCACUGUGGCCGUGCAUGGUGAGGAGAUCUACUGCAAGUCCUGCUACGGCAAGAAGUAUGGGCCCAAAGGCUAUGGCUACGGGCAGGGCGCAGGCACCCUCAGCACUGACAAGGGGGAGUCGCUGGGUAUCAAGCACGAGGAAGCCCCUGGCCACAGGCCCACCACCAACCCCAACGCAUCCAAAUUUGCCCAGAAGAUUGGUGGCUCCGAGCGCUGCCCCCGAUGCAGCCAGGCAGUCUAUGCUGCGGAGAAGGUGAUUGGUGCUGGGAAGUCCUGGCAUAAGGCCUGCUUUCGAUGUGCCAAGUGUGGCAAAGGCCUUGAGUCAACCACCCUGGCGGACAAGGAUGGUGAGAUUUACUGCAAAGGAUGUUAUGCUAAAAACUUCGGGCCCAAGGGCUUUGGUUUUGGGCAAGGAGCUGGGGCCUUGGUCCACUCUGAGUGAGGCCACCAUCACCCACCACACCCUGCCCACUCCUGCGCUUUUCAUCGCCAUUCCCUUCCCAGCAGCUUUGGAGACCUCCAGGAUUAUUUCUCUGUCAGCCCUGCCACAUAUCACUAAUGACUUGAACUUGGGCAUCUGGCUCCCUUUGGUUUGGGGGUCUGCCUGAGGUCCCACCCCACUAAAGGACUCCCCAGGCCUGGGAUCUGACACCAUCACCAGUAGGAGACCUCAGUGUUUUGGGUCUAGGUGAGAGCAGGCCCCUCUCCCCACACCUCGCCCCACAGAGCUCUGUUCUUAGCCUCCUGUGCUGCGUGUCCAUCAUCAGCUGGCCAAGACACCUGAGGACACAUCUUGGCACCCAGAGGAGCAGCAGCAACAGGCUGGAGGGAGAGGGAAGCAAGACCAAGAUGAGGAGGGGGGAAGGCUGGGUUUUUUGGAUCUCAGAGAUUCUCCUCUGUGGGAAAGAGGUUGAGCUUCCUGGUGUCCCUCAGAGUAAGCCUGAGGAGUCCCAGCUUAGGGAGUCACUACUGGAGGCAGAGAGGCAUGCAGGCGGGGUCCUAGGAGCCCCUGCUUCUCCAGGCCUCUUGCCUUUGAGUCUUUGUGGAACGGAUAGCCUCCCACUAGGACUGGGAGGAGAAUAACCCAGGUCUUAAGGACCCCAAAGUCAGGAUGUUGUUUGAUCUUCUCAAACAUCUAGUUCCCUGCUUGAUGGGAGGAUCCUAAUGAAAUACCUGAAACAUAUAUUGGCAUUUAUCAAUGGCUCAAAUCUUCAUUUAUCUCUGGCCUUAACCCUGGGUCCUGAGGCUGUGGCCAGCAGAGCCCAGGCCAGGGCUCUGUUCUUGCCACACCUGCUUGAUCCUCAGGUGUGGAGGGAGGUAGGCACUGCCUCAGUCUUCAUCCAAACACCUUUCCCUUUGCCCUGAGACCUCAGAAUCUUCCCUUUAACCCAAGACCCUGCCUCUUCCACUCCACCCUUCUCCAGGGACCCUUAGAUCACAUCACUCCACCCCUGCCAGGCCCCAGGUUAGGAAUAGUGGUGGGAAGAAGGGGAAAGGGCUGGGCCUCACCGCUCCCAGCGACUGAAAGGACAACACUAUCUGGAGCCACCCACUGAAAGGGCUGCAGGCAUGGGCUGUACCCAAGCUGAUUUCUCAUCUGGUCAAUAAAGCUGUUUAGACCAG
rnacentral:sRNA from 1 species